ACAUUUCCUUUUUGAAUUAUAUCCCUUCUGCCAACAGCCAUGAAUGGCGUCGACAUGGCUAACGAUGCUGACACAUGUGGUGUACUGAUGUUUGACUUUUAUAGCAUUCCAUACAUGGUACAAAUAUGGCACAUGCCUUUUUGUGUAAACAUAUUCAACCCGGUCACUCGGGAGAUAUAAUCCAAUUGGUGAGUUCUGUGAAGAUAGCCUAACUUAGUUGACAACAUGUAAAAGAUUUGGUAAUUGGUACUGUAGUGACAAUAAUUAUAUCGAUUUGCAAACAUGACUAUAUUUACAUAUCUGGAAUCAUGAAUUAAGCAAGUAUCAGCCAUGAAUGGUGUUGACAUGUUCCAUAUUUCAGGAAUGGGUUUUCUAUUUGAAUUAUAUAUCUCUCCUGCGAACAGCCAUUAAUGGUGUUGACAUGGGUAAAGAUACUUUGACACAUGUGAUGCUUUCUUUUCUAGCAUUCCGUACAUGGUACAAACAUGGCGCAUGCCUUUUUGUAAACAUAUUCAACCCGGUCACUCCGGCAGAUGAAAUCUAGUUGGAUUCUUGUUCUCUGGUUCUUCAAGAAAUGAGAUUAUCUGGGGCGAGGUGCUGUGGUUGCUAGUUUCUAUAUCUACAGUAGGUAUAGUACAUUUAGCACCAAGCGCUGGUGUUACUCUACAUGGAGCUCUUCAUAGAAGGCAAAGAGAAGUGACAGUUUGGUGAUGGGUAAAGCAUUACAAAAAAACGGACAUUAGCUCCAAAACCGCAAUUGAUCAUUGUCACAUCUGGUGUAUAUGGAAGCAGAGGAACACAGUGGUCUUCAACAGAGAGAACACCACAUUUCAUAACUGUUGGAAACCAUUAAGGAGGAGGCUAAAUAAUGGGCAUUCGGUGGGUGCCGUUGGGCUACGGAUGGCAUUGCCACCGCCGUGAUGUGUCUUUUGUAAUCAUGUGCAUGAGGCUCGUACUCAUACACAGGGAAGGAAGUGACGCGCCCUCAGGGACAUAAGGCUUGUGCGUAUUCUCCAUGGGAAGGAAGUGACGCCGCCAUCUGUUACGUUCUGAAUGGUUACCAUUGGCUUAUUACCGCUGCUACCUAGCAUUACUUUUAAGCGACCUACACUAGAUGCAAGUAUUGUGACAUUGUUUCCGUAUGAACGAUUGCUCUGUCCAAGUUAAUCUUGCAUGUUUCCUAAUAUGGAAUGCAAGCUCGCUCACUUGGAUGUACUAGGCCUUCUUCCACUGCCAGG